rfam:Punctularia strigosozonata HHB-11173 SS5 unplaced genomic scaffold PTNSTscaffold_20, whole genome shotgun sequence.
GGCCGCCUGGCGAAAUGGCAUCGCGUCUGACUACGAUCUCUUGUCCCUUGGAUUUGAGGUAAUCAGGAGAUUGCAGGUUCGACCCCUGCGGUGGUCA